UCCCUCUUAGCUCAGUUGGUAGAGCGCGUCACUAGUAGUUAGCUAUGACGAGGUCAGUCGUUCAAGUCGGCUAGAGGGAA